CCGUUCACCGAACCGAUCCGCGACGAAGCGCGCGGUCAGGUACGCGACGCAACCGAGCGAUGCGUGGAAUAUCCACUCGCUUUUCUCGUAUAUGAACCGCCGGCCGGGGCAGGGGCACACGGCGCAGGCGGGCGGGGGGCCGCGGAGAAGUGGGGCGGCGGAACGGAAGAGAUUAGCCCAGCGCCUCCUCCUCCUCCCAAACGGAGGAGAACGCAGCGCCGCACCGAGAAUAGCCCGCUCUCUCUCUACCCCACCCCCAAAAUCCAGGGCCCCGGUCUAAAUCCAGCCAGCCGCCGCCAUCCAAUCCCCAAAUCCCUUGCUCCUCCUCCUCCUCCGACGACGACGACAAGGGGGGGAUUGAUUGGUUUGGUUGCAUCAAAUCGAGCCUUAUUUUUGGGGAGCAAAAGCCAAAGAUCUAGGCGGUUUUCUUCCUCCGCCGUUCUUGUGUGGAUCGUUCGUUCUGAAAAUCUGCAGUUCGUCGUCGGCACGGUGGAUUACUGAGUCCCAUCUGAGGAAAGGUCCAAAAAAAGAAGCAGAAUUUGAGCUCCCUGCGUGCUCUCCGACUAUGGCUGUGCGGCCGGCGACGUCGGAGUCGGAGGGCGCGACGACCGACGAAGACGUGCAUCUUUCGCCGACCAGCAUCUGCAGCGGCGGCGGCAGCCGCAUCAAGAUACUCUGCAGCUUCGGCGGCCGCAUCAUGCCCCGCCGGUCCGACGGCACUCUCAAGUACAUCGGCGGCGAGACCCGCGUCCUCGCCGUGCCCCGCUCGAUCCCCUUCUCCGAUUUGAAGAAGAAGGUGGAGGAGAUGUUCAAGACGGAGGUGGCGGCCAUCAAGUACCAGCUCCUCUCCGAGGACCUCGACGUGCUCGUCUCCGUCACCUGCGACGAUGACCUGGUGCACAUGCUCGACGAGUACGACCGCCUCGAGGAGAAGCGGUCGCCGUCCGCGUCGCCGCGCUUCCGUGUCUACAUCUUCGCCUCCCACCCACCGGCCGUCUCGUCGGCCGCCGCCACCGUCUCGUCCUCCCGCCACACCAGCUACGCGCCGGCGCCACACCACCCGCACCUCCACCACCCGCACCACCUCCACCAGUUCCAGCCGGAGCGCUACGUCGCCACCAUGCCCGCCACGCCCAGCGGGAGCCCGUCGUACUCUGCGCACGCGCACGGCGCCGUGUCAGCGGGCAACUCGCCGCGCGCCGACGCCGUGGGUUCUGACCACGCCGUGUUCGGCCUUGGGAUGCAACGCGUCCGGAGCACGCCGAAUCUCGGCGGCCUGGACGCAGCGCCGCAGCACUUCCACCAGCACGCCGCGGACGGCGGCGGCGGGUUGGCGGGAUACACGAGCAGCUCGCCCGGGCGCGCCGGCGCCGGUCACGUCGUCUCGCAGGGAAGCUUGCACAGCUACUACCACCCGCACCACCAGUACGCGCCGGCGCCCGUGCACGUCCCGCACCACGCCGGCGUGGCCGGGAGGUACGACACGCGUGUCUACGUGCGAGGCAGCAACUACGCGGCCCCGGCGGCGGCGCCGCCGCCGAUGAUGCCGGUGGCAGUCCGGUCCGGCCGGCCGGUCUCGCGCGGCGGCGGCGGGCCGCCGUACAGCGACAUGCUCACGCCGAAGAAGGCGACGACGAUAUGGGACUGAGUCCUUGGCCGCCCGGCGGCGGCCCGUGGCGUACACCGGAGCUCGUGGAGUUUUGCAGUGAGCGGCACGAGCAAUUUGAGGGGUUUGAGAUGUAAAAUAGAUGGAUGGAUUGGACCAGGGAUGCACGCCGGCGUCGGAGUAAUCUCUUUUUGCUGCUGAGAACAGGGCCUAACCAUGCGCAGUCAUGCUAGUUCAACUAACGACUAACGUCGCCUGGGCGUCUGGCGGCAAUGGUGAGCGCUACUUUCUCC